rnacentral:misc_RNA from 1 species
GCCUUGCUGAAUAUAUAGCUCAGGUGAGAACCAUAUUCAGUUAUUGCCUUUCCCUUCUCCAUAUAUGCAUUAAAUUAGACAUUCUCUUCUUGUAAAUGUUUUCCUUUUCAGCCCUGGAAAGUGUCAUUUUUGCCUGGGGAGGCUCUUGGGACAACUUUACGAAGAGGGGGAGUUUUUGGUUAAUCAUUUGCUCCAUUGUGAGUGGGUGAAAACUCUAAUAGUAUUUAUUGUCGGAUUAACCGAGUCCAUAUUCCAUGCAGAGAAUUUGGAGAUGGAGGUUAUAAUAUUUGAGACAGGAGAUCUUAUUCCACAAUUCAUCAUGAUAAAGUUUUGGAUGCCAUAACAUAGAGAGAAUUAGAUUUAAUGGUUCUUAAGGAUAAAACAACUAGACAAGCUAUAUACUGAAGAACUGAAUGUAUAUGCUAUGCAUAUAGAUAACGAGGAAUAUGUCUAUUGAUCAUUUUGGUUUUGUAAAUUUUGUUGAUAAACUUUCCUGUGAAGUUUUCUAAAACAUAAAUCCUAGUCAUGGCAAACCAUUUUGUGUGUUUGUAAAAUUGCUUUUACUAAUUUUCCUUUUCCAUGUGAACACCAGUUUUAUGCAUUUUAAGUUGCUAGAAUUUGAUUUUAUAGACUGAUGAUAAUAUUAUUUUUAUCAUUAUUGUUAUGAUAUUUAAUUUUGCUUUUAUUUUCCUCUUUGGUUAGAAUUAUGCUCUUCCUCAGGUCUUUAAUUGUGUAAAUUGCAGGAGGAAAUGGAUAGGAAAAAU